rnacentral:rRNA from 1 species
UUAGUUGGUGGAGUGAUUUGUCUGGUUAAUUCCGUUAACGAACGAGACCUUAACCUACUAAAUAGUAACGUAAAUUCCGAUUUACGGCAUACUUCUUAGAGGGACUAUCGGCUUAAACCGAUGGAAGUUUGAGGCAAUAACAGG